GUAUAUUUAUAGAGUAUGAGUAUAUUUUACCUUAGAAUUAUUGAUAAAGGUUUGCAUGCUUUUAUUUACUACAUUAUGUAAGCUAAAAAAACAACCUUUUAAAACUUGCGCUUGGGCUAUGUUGUAAAACAUACAGCUUCUUCACAAAAAGUAUUAGUGUUACUCAUAUAAGAUUUAUUUAUACCUAAUACUUAUUAGGUAUGUGUGUAAAACUAUUUUUUUACUAGGAUUUCUGAUGCACUGGUUAGAAACACAGCAGCCAAUAAUUCAGUUAAUUUACCAAGUGAUUUACCCUUCAAAGCUACAGGGGUAGCUUUCCUGAAGAGUGCAAAAACUUCUUUAGCUUUCAAAAUGGUAUAUAGUACAAACAGUGAAGCUAAUAUAGACACAUCUGAUCAUUCAUCAUCAACAAUAACUGCAUCUGAGAAUUAUAGUUCUACAGUAACCGUGGAGUCUAGGUCAACAAUUACUAUUUCUCAUCCAAGCCGUUUUUGUUUAACUGCUACACAUUCCCUGACUCUGCCAAGGAAAAGGGUAAAAUCAAAAUGAUAUCCUGAGGACCUAAGCACUGAUGAUUCCACCGUUUCAAGAGCUUAAUCACUUGUCACCAGAUUAUGGAAAAAAAAUAUAGAACAAAAAAUUAAAAUUCGAAGAUUGCAACAAGCAAAUUUGCG